rnacentral:rRNA from 1 species
GACGAACGCUGGCGGCGUGCUUAACACAUGCAAGUCGAACGGAAAGGCCUGCUUUCCCUUGUGGUUUGCGGGUCCUCGAGUGGCGAACGGGUGAGUAACACGUGAGUGAUCUGCCCCCAACUUGGGUAUAAGCCUGGGAACCUGGGUCUAAUUCCCGAUAGGACUGCAUGGUUGUGCCUGUGGUGGAAAACGAUUUUCUAGUGGUUGGGGAUGAGCUCGCGGCCUAUCAGCUUGUUGGUGGGGUAAUUGCCUACCAAGGCGGCGACGGGUAGCCGGCCUGAGAGGGUGGACGGCCAGAUUGGAACUGCGAUACGGCCCAGACUCCGACGGGAGGCAGCAGAGGGGAAUACUGCACGAUGGGGGGAAGCGUGAUGCAGCGACGCCGCGUGGGGGAUGACGGGCUUCGGGUUGUAAACUCAUUUGGACCGCGAGGAAGCCACCUGGUUGGAAGGGGGGUGACGGUAGUGGUAGAAGAAGCACCGGCUAACUACGUG